GCGGGUGUGGUGUACGGAUCACCGCUGCUUCAUAUAGAUUGAAACACCUGUGCUAGCAGUAGACCCGGGUUCGACUCCCGGCGCCCGCG